rnacentral:lncRNA from 10 species
AACAGUUCCAAUUAUGUGUUUAAGUCAUUUUUAAGACACCAAUGUGCCCAAGGUGACUGAUUACCCCAUGCAUUGAUGGAGAAGUAACCAGUUCUCAAAAUUUAAUAUGUGCAAGGCUGAACUAUGAAGCUUGUUAAAAAUGUAGAUUCCUGGGCUUAGCCUCCAGGUAGUCUGAUCUAGUAGCUCCAGUGUAAGGCACAGGAAUUUGCAUUUAUGAUAUUCCUCCUCCUACCCCAUCCCUGAGUUGUGUGCAAGUGGCAAGAAACAGGAGGUGUGAUUGUAAACUAGUAAGGUCAGGGUCGUGUGAUUGUAAACUAGUCAGGUCAGGGUCGUGUGAUUGUAAACUAGUCAGGUCAGGGUCGUGUGGUUGUAAACUAGUAAGGUCAGGAUCGUGUGAUUGUAAACUAGUAAGGUCAGGGUCAGGUCUAUUUUGUUUAAUGUGAUAUCCGUAGGGCCAAGCAUAUUGCUUAACUCACAAUAAAGCUUAUUAUCUGUCCAAUGAGGAGGAAUCUCAUCUGACUUAUCCUAAACACUGCCCUUCCUUCCAGAAAGGAAAUGAACCAGGUGACCCUCCUGGUCUUCUGAAGGCCACCAGCUUACUGUCACACACUUAGUAAACUGGGAAGUGCCCCUUCUGGCUGCCUCAGCCCCAUCUGCUCAGAGUUCUAAUUGAAGAGGCCGACCUCCUUUGAUUGGCACUGCCUUCUUGCUGUGCCAGGGACCAUCUGUAGCCACCACCUCCUGGCAGUUCAGACAUCUCUUCCUUCUUGCAGGCAUGGAUGGGCAAGGACAUUAGUAAAUGGACCUGGAUCUAGGAGAGAGGGCCUGCCUGUCACACCCCGAAUGACCCCAGGUCUGUUAGCAAACUCCACACAGGUACUGAGAACUCCCACACCUGGGGAAUGGUGCUUUCCUAGUAACUAGGUUUUUUUUUUUUUUUUUUCUGCAGCAGAAUGCUGAGCAUCCCAUAACCGUGAUUUCACUGGCUCUCACAGUACCUCAGUAAAACCAGGAGGGAGCACGGGUCUGUAUCCAUAUUUUGCAGAUGGCAAACAGAGAGGAAAUCUGACUUGCCCAAGGUCACACAGCAGGUCAGCCAUGAAGCCAGGGAGGGUACCCAAGCUCUACGCAUCCACAGCCGUGGCAUCUGCAGGGCCACAGCCCCUUCACAGGGGCGGGGAAUCACAGCUGCUUCCAUUUAAGGCUGUUGCUCCUCAAUUUUACACAGGGGUAUGUGCUCUUCAGAAAGGAAAUACUAAGCUAAGCUUUGCCUCUCUUCACUUAAAAGACCUUCGGGAUGAAUCUCUUUCAGAGACUCAACUGCCAUCCAAGUGAAGAGAGGACGGGGGGAUAUGAAAAGAUCUUUUUCUUGGCAGUGGUAAUGAACCUGUAGUUCUCAAAGUGUAGAUGGGACGUAUCAGAAUCACCCAGGCACUUUCUCAACAUAUAUCGUCCCCCAUUCACAGAUUCUGCAAGUCAACCAACCCCACUUCAGCCCUGACUCCAUAGCAAAUCUCACAAUGGAGUAGUUUGAGUGGCUUUUUUCUUUUCCCUUAUCCCACGGGCAGGUGUUAACAGCAAAGGGGACAGGGGUGAGCAGUAGGAAGGGGAAGCCUGGACCCUGGACAAUCCACAGCAGAGGGUGCGGAGCUGACAUCCCCUGUGCCAGUUUGCCGCAGCACGAUACAAAAGGUGCACAGGACACAAGAGUAAUGGGGCAAUCCGGGCCCACACCUUCGUUCUCAUACUAAGAGGAAAACAGAAAAUACAGGGUUACAGAGUUCACAGCCAACACUCAAAACAACAGACUGGAGUAUGUGUCUAAGGAAGACAUGAAAUGGAAGGGCCACUACAGACAACUGGCGGUUGAGAAGAUAAGACUCAGCCUACAUCCUCCAGAAGCAUACUGACAGACAGAGUCUGGGGUCGUUUGAGGCUCUCCUCUGUACUGAUACUCUCCACCCCACUCCCUGAGAACAACUGGAGGGAGGGUGCCUGCCUAGGGGCUCUCGAGUGGUGAGCACAGUGCUGGGCACACACAGUAAAGCUCCAGAAAAGUGAGUUGUUUUUGCAUUGCGAGUUUUUCUGGACUGUGUCAAGUUUUACUUUAAAUAAGGCACAUCCAAACUAAGAAGUGCCCAGGUGAGGUUGGUCACCCAGUGAUGGCUUCCAGGCUCACCAGCACACCCUCAGUCCUAUCCAUGACUGAGCCCUUCCCAUCCAGCCCUCCCCUGGAUCCCAGUACUGUUGCUUCUCCCACUCAGUACGCAUCCCUUACUUCCCUGUUGGUUUCAAAGUUUUCUCUCUCCAGUGAUCCCAUAAAUCAGGCAUGUGAGACAGAAGGUUUUCACAUCAUGUAUUAAAGGUUAUUAAGUGCUCCCAAUGAGAUAGAAGAAAUCUUCCAUUGCAACAUGAGAGGCAUACUUUGGACAUCAGAAUGAAUAGUGGUAAGCGCUACUUAAACAAUGUAGGUUACCAGUGGAUGGACGGAGAGGCAGAAACUGACAUUUACUGACUACCUACGUGUGUGAAUGUGCUUGAUUUUAUUUAAUCCUCAACACCCUCCUGCGAGGAAGGUAUCAUUAUUUCAGGGAUGAAGAAAGAGGAAAAGAAUAGCAUUUCCACAGCAGAUGUUCUUAGAAAACAGAAGCCACGGACUUAGGUUCCAAUGACUUGCAAAUAGUACCCUGGUGGGGAAAAGUAUGCACAUAUGUUUGGCCUCCACUGUACCCAGAGCUGCUUGGAGAGCCUUCCACAUGGAUCAGUCAAUGACCAAGGAGGAGUUCUAAGCCUUUGGGUGGCAGCCAAUAAAUAAUCAUCCUUUCUGCCCCUUAUAAACUCAGAACCAAUUAAGAAGUAAGAUAUAGGACACACAGAUUAAAUCAAACCAAAAGCUUGAUUAGAAACAAAUUAUAAAAUGGAGGAAGUGGCUUAGACGGGCUUCGAAGGACUUCCUAAUAUUUCAACCACUAUUAAAUGUACUUACCCUGCCAGAAGGUGAGACCAUCACAGGUUUUCCCCACAGGGCCAGAUCAGUCCCAAUAACUUGGUGAACCCUUCUUUGGGGAUAAGUGGAUUCAAAAGAGAGUCCCAGAAGGGGCUACACCAAACUCACCAGUCAGAUAGGUCACUUCUCCCCUGGGGACAAGGGCAUAAAGAGACAGGGAAAAGUGGGAUGUGUUCCUGCCAUACCUUCCCUUCCGGGAACAUGAGCUAGAAACUCCCUCCUUCCCCUGCCCAUGUAACACAAGGGGUAGGGAGUAAAUGAUAUUCCUUUUGCGGGAGAGGGCCAUCAACACUUUCAAGCUAACUCGAAUGUAUGGGAAAGACUGAAAAAAAAAAAAAAAGUUAAACCCAUGGACCCAGCAAAGUGCCAUCCUCUAAGGAGGACUUGGAAGGACCCAAGAAAGUCUUGGGAAGUAAAAACUGGGGAAGAGUAAGAGCUUAGAAAAAAGAAAGAAGGGGUUUGACCUAACAGGUCUGUAACAGAAAACAUACAGCUGUCCCCGCACAAACACCUUCAUCUGAUCUGGAAUUUGCUCUACAUAGAACCUGAAUAAUCUCCUGGAACCCACCAGGCCUCUACCACCUACAAAGGCAACCUUGACAUUUAAAGUGCAUAACUCUUGUCCCUGCUUCUUGAUAGACAGUGGAGGACAAAUGAUGACUCACACAAGAAGCCCCCAAGCCUGCUCCGGGGCUUCUUAGCCUCAGCUGCACGGUUGCUGCUUUCCAUGUCCUUCCACCUUCCACUCAGCACGUUGGCCUCCCAGAGGGUCCUCUUUCUACACUGUCCUACAACCCAAACGUUUGUGUAUCGUAUCAGAGCUGCUGAUGUGAAGAAGCCUUUGACUGUGGCCAGAUUGCAGAGGCCACUCUGUCUAAACCAGCCCUUUUUUGGACUUUCUUUUUCAGGCGGACUAUUUACACACUUCAAGCAAGCCCCACAAGAGCCCCCAGCAAAUAAUACAUUCAUCCAAGCAGCCAUCUCUGGUGGAAAAAAAUCGUUAUUAAUUGGGGUUACAGCACUCAUUUUAACCGCAGCAGGAGCUGAGCCAACUUGAUUUAGUGGUGUGCAGUCUUUUUCUGAACUCCAGUGGAUACUUCACAAAUAACAAUAAAAAUUUUAAUGGUAGGACAGACAUGGAGUGGGCUACACAGCUUCACUCAUUAAACAAACUCCAUCCACCAUGCUCAAGGAUUCAAGCUGUUUUAUGUGGCCAGCCACUUUGCCUAAGCCUGCUGCAGAUGAGAGACUAAAUUUUCAUGGUGUCAAGUUGCAGUAAGAAACAGGUUUCAUUAGCCCUCUUAACAGAUGCAGAAACCGAAGGCCAGAGUGAGAAAGUGAUUUAGGAUCAAUCAGAGGAGGUGCCAGGAGUCCAUCCUCAGCCCCACCUCUCGCCCCAGCCUCAUUCAGUUCUGAUUUCCGAAACAUUUUCGCUUCAUGGAAACUAGGAAGACUCCAUUCUCUGGAGAACUGCAGGGCAGCUGUUUCUGAUUAUUUUUCCAAGAGAGACACAUAACCAAAAGGGUAUUUUGGUUAUAAAGCAAUUUAUUUCUCUAACCAUUAGAAGAUAUGUAUGUUCAUUCCCAUGGGCCCGGGGCUGGGUUUGGUUGCCCUGCAAUGACAACGUCUAGCAGGACUCCACUGAAUCCAGGAGGCCAGUAAUGGAAACUCAAAGACUGUGGCAGUGCCACUUAGAUAAGCACCUGCGGCCUCCCUGACCUACCUCAACCUCCCUGGCUUGGAAACCUCUGCUGGAAAUUUCAUAGAAGCUACUUCUCCCCUUGCAGGGGAGAAUUUUCAUUACAAAGGAGGAUUUCAACACGCUUCAGCCAUGUCCUUUAGGAUCACUGUACUAGAAAGCUGGGUAUAGCUCUGACCAGCCAUUGACCGCCUGCCCUCAUGAUGGUCACGAUCCCAGGAGACAUGUCAGUAGACCACACUGUCCAGCAGCAACUCAGCUUCCCUUUGCCCUUCACCCCCAUGACCUUAUGCUGACUGUCAACGUGAUCUAUUUUCUCCCCUGCUCUUCAGAAGCCCUCAGCAACGAUUCUCCACUCCCCAGAUACUGAUGACAGAAACUAAAUGAUCAAGAAGUAUUCAUAUGAGCAGACACACAUCCCUCUCAAACUCAGGCUCUUCCAAAGUGACAUGACUGUUCUGCAGACGGGCUGAGCCAACGCAGAACACACUGUCCCUCCUUCUGCGUCAUGCUGGAAGUUGCUCUAAGUGCAGGAUGUGGUAGAAGUCACCAGGGUGGAUGGGAUGGUCUGUGUUCCAGCAAACCCACAAGGACAGAAGAGCCAGCCUGGGCUGGUUAGGGAGAGGACAGCUUCAAGGCUGAAGACUAAAAAGUAGAGCUAUUAUUCUGGGUGGCUUGUCGUCAUCUCCACUGAGAGCAGAACAAACCCCUAAAGCAUGUGGAAUUUCCAUUACAGACAAAAAAGAAUUAUUGGACAGUGAGGGUCAUUAGACAAUGGAAUGAGUGCCCAAGGCUACAGCACUGGCAUCACCACAAUGAUCAAGUCAGGAGGGCCGGCUGGGGUUGGGAGGUCACUGGAUUAGAGAUGGAUGACCAGGGCUCCAUUGGCUCAGUGGGUAUUUAACGCAUGGCCUUGGAGGAGGUGCCAGUCUCUCUCCACUUCAGCUACAGCGUAGGCCAUCACCCAGUUUGUCCCCCUGAGUAGUUGCUAUGAAGAUCAAAUGAGAUCAUGGAUGUAAAAGUGUUCAGUGAACCAUAAAUUGCUACCCAGAUAUCAGCUGUCAUCAACCACACCCACAAUCCUGACUAAAGGUCUCGGGAUGGAGAGAGGGUCUUGGCCUGUGCCCUUCAGGAUUCGGUGCUGUGCGUGCAACCUGGGAGUUUCUGCCCUGUUAAUAAGCUGAGUGCUCCCAACUCCAGGUGCUGGGAGGUGAACGGCCCAGGGUUGGAAAUGUCUCUUCCUGGAGUGCUCAGUGCUGAUGCUGGCCAGGUGGAGCACAGAAGACAAAUGAACUCCGCAGAUACUGACUGGGUGGGCUCUGUGAGGCACUGUCCAUGCCUCAGGGAGAUGGACUGAUGCAUCCUUGUCCUUGAGGAAUCUAAAGAGAAGGCAAGGCAGGCCGGGUGCAGUGGCU